rnacentral:rRNA from 1 species
UACGUAGGGACCAAGCGUUGUUCGGAAUUAUUGGGCGUAAAGGGUGCGUAGGCGGUUUGGUAAGUCUGAUGUGAAAUCUAUGGGCUCAACUCAUAGUCUGCAUCGGAAACUGCCGGGCUUGAGUGUGGGAGAGGUGAGUGGAAUUCCUGGUGUAGCGGUGAAAUGCGUAGAUAUCAGGAGGAACACCUGUGGCGAAAGCGGCUCACUGGACCAUAACUGACGCUGAUGCACGAAAGCUAGGGGAGCAAACAGG